AUACGUAGGUGACAAGCGUUAUCCGGAUUUACUGGGCGUAAAGGGCGCGUAGGCGGCCUGUUAAGUCUGGAGUGAAAGUCCUGUUUUCAAGAUGGGAAUUGCUUUGGAUACUGAUGGGCUUGAGUGCAGGAGAGGUUAUCGGAAUUCCCGGUGUAGCGGUGAAAUGCGUAGAGAUCGGGAGGAACACCAGUGGCGAAGGCGGGUAACUGGACUGCAACUGACGCUGAGGCGCGAAAGUGUGGGGAGCAAACAGGAUUAGAUACCCUGGUAGUCCACACUGUAAACGAUGAAUGCUAGGUGUAAGAGGUAUCGACCCCUUUUGUGCCGGAGUUAACACAAUAAGCAUUCCGCCUGGGGAGUACGGCCGCAAGGUUGAAACUCAAAUGAAUUGGCGGGG
rnacentral:rRNA from 1 species